AUAAGAUCAAUUGAUAAAUUCUUCAUCAUGCAACAAUCUUACAAUACAAACUCAAGUCAAUAAAAACGAAAUGGAUACUCCUCUAUGGCUUCGUCAAACCCCUAAAUCGAGGUUUAGCUGCUCAUGAUGCUCGGCGACUUUGAUCGGCUUGCUGAGAUGCUCCACGCCAUCCGCCUCUAGUCCUUCCUUCUUUUUCUUUCACUAAUUGAUCCGCUCCCAGCCUCCCUCUAUUUUUUUAUUUUUUAUUCCCCCUUUUUGGCACAAAACAGAGCAUGCUCUGUUCUUCAAACCGUGCUCUCCCCCUCGCCUCCCUUCUUCCGUCUUCCUCUUAUAGAUCGCCGAAGACCCGGCGAUCGAUUCCCAGAGAGGAGGAGGGCGUGGUCUGCGGUCUUUGAUCUCGCGGAGGCUGGAUUAUGGGUGCUGUUGCAUGCGGCUGAUGGCUGGAAAUAGGCAUGAUCCGUGGAGCUCGGAUGCGGAAGAGCUUGGCUCACAGGCUGCUGGGGCUUCCUUCACAGAUGGCUGGAGGAUCCAACGGAUGCAUUCCGGGCAAAUUACGGGGAGACUGGAUCACAGAAGAGGAGGAUACGCUGGAACAUUGGAUGAUCGCUAGCUGCACGCGGCUGAUGGCGGAACACCCGAGGACGCUGGGAAGAGCUGAUCAUGCUUGGAGCUAGGAAUCUAGAGGAGGAAGAGUCGCUACGCCAUCUCUGGGAUUCGGAAGCUGGUGGCUGGAUGGACGAUGAUUGCGGAGGAGAUUCGGUGUGGAUGCGGAAGGGCUGAAGAAGAAGGUGGCUGGAUCGGUGGCUCCGGAUGCUCCGUGGAUGGCUGAUCACGGACGGCUAGGAAGAGAGGCUGGCCGCGGGAUCGACGGGAGGACGCCGUGGAAGGUGGACGGCCGCGGGAUCGACGGGAAGAUGCAGUGGAAGGUGGACGGCCGAGAUGCUCUGCGGGAGGAAGAAGAUGAACAGUGGAAUGAG
rnacentral:lncRNA from 1 species